CCUACGGGAUGCAGCAGUGAGGAAUAUUGCGCAAUGGACGCAAGUCUGAUGCAGCAACGCCGCGUGGAGGAUGACGGCCCUUGGGUUGUAAACUCCUUUUUUCAGGGAAGAGUGAGGACGGUACCUGAAGAAUAAGUCACGGCUAACUACGUGCCAGCAGCCGCGGUAAUACGUAGGUGGCAAGUGUUAUCCGGAAUUACUGGGCGUAAAGCGCACGCAGGCGGCUCUUUAAGUUUGACGUGAAAGCUCCCGGCUUAACUGGGAGAGGUCGUUGAAAACUGAAGGGCUUGAGGCAAUGAGAGGGGUGUAGAAUUCCCGGUGUAGUGGUGGAAUGCGUAGAUAUCGGGAGGAAUACCAGUGGCGAAAGCGGCACUCUAGCAUUAGCCUGACGCUCAGGUGCGAAAGCGUGGGGAGCGAACAGGAUUAGAUACCCCGGUAGUC
rnacentral:rRNA from 1 species